rnacentral:lncRNA from 1 species
ACACGCACUUACAUACACACAGGUGUACAGCACACAGGCACACCAGUGCAUCUCAGAACACACGCACUUACAUGCACACAGGUGUUACAGCACACAGGCACACCAGUGCAUCUCAGAACACACGCACUUACAUGCACACAGGUGUUACAGCACACAGGCACACCAGUGCAUCUCAGAAAACACGCACAUACAUGCACACAGGUGUUACAGCACACAGGCACCCCUACACAUCUCUCUUGAUACAGGAACACCACAACAUCUCAG